UAGGGAAUCUUCCGCAUUGGACGCAAGUCUGACGGAGCAACGCCGCGUGAGUGAAGAAGGAUUUCGGUUCGUAAAACUCUGUUGUUAGAGAAGAACAGCGCAUAGAGUAACUGUUAUGCGUGUGACGGUAUCUAACCAGAAAGCCACGGCUAACUACGUGCCAGCAGCCGCGGUAAUACGUAGGUGGCAAGCGUUGUCCGGAUUUAUUGGGCGUAAAGCGAGCGCAGGCGGUCAAUUAAGUCUGAUGUGAAAGCCCCCGGCUCAACCGGGGAGGGUCAUUGGAAACUGGUUGACUUGAGUGCAGAAGAGGAGAGUGGAAUUCCAUGUGUAGCGGUGAAAUGCGUGGAUAUAUGGAGGAACACCAGUGGCGAAGGCGACUCUCUGGUCUGUAACUGACGCUGAAGCUUGAAAGCGUGGGUAGCAAACAGG
rnacentral:rRNA from 1 species